rnacentral:misc_RNA from 1 species
GGUAGCCCUCCAUGGACUUCGGGCCGCAAGGCACGCGGCCAUGCGACGCCGAGAGUCGUUCGGUCGAGCGCGUCCAGCGCUAGUUUAGGACAAACAGAGGUCGAAGACCCCAUGCACCCCGCAUAUUCCGCAUCCCCGAUUUCAGGCAGCGAUCGAGGGCCGCGGCGACAAAGUGCAAGCGCCGCGGAACACGAAAGCCGCCUAUGGGUUCACCCGAAGCCGCACCGUGCGAACGGGCAGCACCGAGGCGAACGGUACAAAUUUUAACCCACGAAUUCCAUCGAAACAGGUACGCGACACAGGAAACCGGACACGGGAACGAGGCUGCCGUAGCUCUCGCCCCAACAAUUGAAAGGAGCGCACGACAGACGUCGCUGCACAGGGCAGGGAUCC